GCGUGCCUAACACAUGCAAGUCGAACGAUUUAGCAUUUGAGCUUGCUUGAAUGCUGGAUAGUGGCGGACGGGUGAGUAACGCGUGAGCAACCUGCCUUUUUGAGGGGGAUAACACCGGGAAACCGGAGCUAAUACCGCAUAAAAUAUUGAAAUCGCAUGGUAUCGAUAUCAAAGGAGCAAUCCGCAGAAAGAUGGACUCGCGUCCGAUUAGCUAGUUGGAGGGGUAACGGCCCACCAAGGCGACGAUCGGUAGCCGGACUGAGAGGUUGAACGGCCACAUUGGGACUGAGACACGGCCCAGACUCCUACGGGAGACAGCAGUGGGGGAUAUUGCACAAUGGGGGAAACCCUGAUGCAGCAACGCCGCGUGAGGGAAGAAGGUUUUCGGAUUGUAAACCUCUGUCCUAGGUGAAGAUAAUGACGGUAACCUGGGAGGAAGCUCCGGCUAACUACGUGCCAGCAGCCGCGGUAAUACGUAGGGAGCGAGCGUUGUCCGGAAUUACUGGGUGUAAAGGGUGCGUAGGCGGCCUUGUGGGUCAGGCGUGAAAUACAUGGGCUUAACCCAUGGACUGCGCUUGAAACUAUAAGGCUUGAGUGAAGUAGAGGCAGGUGGAAUUCCCGGUGUAGCGGUGAAAUGCGUAGAGAUCGGGAGGAACACCAGUGGCGAAGGCGGCCUGCUGGGCUUUAACUGACGCUGAGGCACGAAAGCAUGGGUAGCAAACAGGAUUAGAUACCCUGGUAGUCCAUGCCGUAAACGAUGAUUACUAGGUGUGGGUGGACUGACCCCAUCCGUGCCGGAGUUAACACAAUAAGUAAUCCACCUGGGAAGUACGACCGCAAGGUUGAAACUCAAAGGAAUUGACGGGGGCCCGCACAAGCGGAGGAACAUGUGGUUUAAUUCGAUGAUACGCGAGGAACCUUACCCGGGCUCAAACGCAGGAGGGAUGUUUUUGAAAGGAGGCAGCCAGCAAUGGUCUCCUGCGAGGUGCUGCAUGGUUGUCGUCAGCUCGUGCCGUGAGGUGUCGGCUUAAGUGCCAUAACGAGCGCAACCCCUACCUACAGUUGCCAUCGCGUGAUGGCGGGCACUCUGUGGGGACUGCCUGCGCAAGCAGUGAGGAAGGCGGGGAUGACGUCAAAUCAGCACGGCCCUUACGUCCGGGGCGACACACGUGUUACAAUGGCAGGUACAGCGGGAAGCCACCCGGCGACGGGGCGCGGAACCCGAAAACCUGUCUCAGUUCGGAUUGGAGUCUGCAACCCGACUCCAUGAAGCUGGAUUCGCUAGUAAUCGCGCAUCAGCCACGGCGCGGUGAAUACGUUCCCGGGCCUUGCACUCACCGCCCGUCA
rnacentral:rRNA from 1 species